CGCAGGCUGCAACCCGCCUGCGUGAAGUUGGAAUCGCUAGUAAUCGCGGAUCAGCAUGCCGCGGUGAAUACGUUCCCGGGCCUUGUACACACCGCCCGUCACACCAUGAGAGUCGGGAACACCCGAAGUCCGUAGCCUAACCGGUAAGGGGGGCGCGGCCGAAGGUGGGUUCGAUAAUUGGGGUGAAGUCGUAACAAGGUAAC
rnacentral:rRNA from 1 species